rnacentral:rRNA from 1 species
CCGCCCGUCACACCAUGGGAGUUGGUUCUACCCGAAGCCGGUGCGCUAACCCGCCCAGGAAACUGAGUGGGAGGCAGCCGACCACGGUAGGGUCAGCGACUGGGGUG